rnacentral:rRNA from 1 species
AUGGGCAUGGCUGACAAGAGGUCGGCUGCAAGGAAGGCCGGGCUAAUCACCAAGGCGCUGGACCGGUGCUGGACCACACCGGCGAGAAACAGCAAGCCAGUGGAGGGCUGCUUCUCGGUGUAUGUUGGCGCCGGGAAGCAGCGGUUCGUGGUGCGGACAGAGUGCGUGAACCACCCGCUGUUCCGAGCGCUGUUGGAGGAGGCCGAGGAGGUGUUUGGGUACGCGGAUGCAGGGCCCCUCGAGCUUCCCUGCAACGCCGAGGCGUUUGCCAGGGUGCUGCAGCAGAUCAAGGAGGAGAAGCAGAUGGUGGCAGGAAGGAGGUUCGUCCUUGCCAAGGGGAACUCCUACCGGCUGCUCGGCACCAGCCGGUCUGUCAUCAUCGGACAGUCGUAG